GCCACACCGGCUUCCAGCGGAACAGCAGCAAAGGGACCCCUGCCAUCAUCCAGACCACGAUGUGAUAGCCUAUGACCCUCCAUGGACUGCCACAGUAACCGCUGAGCCUCUGCGGAGACGCCGACAGAGAAGGCCGAGAAGCCGCGGCUGUUUCCAUGCAGCCGCUGUGGUCAAAAAGGAGCCGAGGUGGCUGUUCUGCCUGACGGUCACGGCUCUGUUUGCCGUAACUGACCUGCAACAUUUUGGGAAAAGACAGUCCCCGCUGUCCCUGCCAACUCUUGGGUACAGAGUCCUUUGCUAAAACUGGCAUGUUUCCAGAGGUCAGGAGAAACGUUCUGUGGGUGGGGUCUCACAUAUAGUUGUUACCAGAAGGAGGCUUUCGAGAACUCGCCUGCUGAGACCAAGGACCCGUCUGGAGGGGCAGAUGGGAGCAGGCUGGACACGUGUACUGGAAAGGACCUGUGUGGUGCUUUGGGCCCUUGCCCUGAAAGGCUUAAGGUGUCAGUACCAGCACCAAAGGCAGUCAAACCUUCGAUGCUGAGGAGCAUAAGAAGCGGACCAUAAGCUUAUUCAAGACAACUGUAGUCACAGCUGUGCGAGACGAAGGUUCUGGCGUGAGUGAAGUGGCGCUUUCCGUGCGUGGGGAUCCUGGGGUCAGGACCGCGACGGAGCACAACCCCCUCAGGACCUGGCUGCCCCCAGGUUUCCUGGCAGCGUCUGAUUCUGAAGACGCUGAAGACGCCAGCUUGUUGCUGAUGCUGUGUUCAGAGUGAGGUCUGCUGGGGCGCCUGGGCGGCUCGGUCGGUUAAGCCUCCGACUUCGGCUCAGCUUAUGACGUCACGGUUCGUGGGUUCGAGCCCCGCGUCGGGCUCGGUGCUGACAGCUUGGAGCCUGGAGCCUGCUUCCGAUUCUGUGUCUCCCUCUCUCUCUGCCCCUCUCCCGCUUACUCUCAAAAAUAAACAUUAAAAAAAUAAUAAUAAUAAAGCGAGGUCUGCUGCUCACAAAGCCGUGUCUGUGAUUAAGCUCCCCUCAUUCCCCUAGUGUUUCUCUCCCAACUGUGAACCCAUAAGCACCUGGCCUGACCAAUAAAAGACUGAGGUAAAAA